UACGGAGGGUGCAAGCGUUAUUCGGAAUUACUGGGCGUAAAGCGUGCGUAGGUGGUUCGUUAAGUCCGUUGUGAAAGCCCCGAGCUCAACUUGGGAAUUGCAGUGGAUACUGGCGAGCUAGAGUGCGGUAGAGGAAGGUGGAAUUCCCGGUGUAGCGGUGAAAUGCGUAGAGAUCGGGAGGAACACCAGUGGCGAAGGCGGCCUUCUGGACCAGCACUGACACUCAAGCACGAAAGCGUGGGGAGCAAACAGG
rnacentral:rRNA from 1 species